GAUCCUGGCUCAGAUUGAACGCUGGCGGCAGGCCUAACACAUGCAAGUCGAACGGUAGCACAGAGGAGCUUGCUCCUUGGGUGACGAGUGGCGGACGGGUGAGUAAUGUCUGGGAAACUGCCYGAUGGAGGGGGAUAACUACUGGAAACGGUAGCUAAUACCGCAUAACGUCGCAAGACCAAAGAGGGGGACCUUCGGGCCUCUUGCCAUCGGAUGUGCCCAGAUGGGAUUAGCUAGUAGGUGGGGUAACGGCUCACCUAGGCGACGAUCCCUAGCUGGUCUGAGAGGAUGACCAGCCACACUGGAACUGAGACACGGUCCAGACUCCUACGGGAGGCAGCAGUGGGGAAUAUUGCACAAUGGGCGCAAGCCUGAUGCAGCCAUGCCGCGUGUAUGAAGAAGGCCUUCGGGUUGUAAAGUACUUUCAGCGAGGAGGAAGGYGUUGUGGUUAAUAACCGCAGCRAUK
rnacentral:rRNA from 1 species